AUGCCUGCUAUUAUGAUCACUGAUGAGAUGUCACCUGAAACAUCCUCCUGUGGAAACAUCCUGAAUCUUGGUUCUCACAUAAGUGGCUAUUGGCCUCUUUCAGUUUACGGUGGCGCUGUUCUUGGACAACUUCGGAAGUGGAUGCCUAUUAGUAUAAAAGAAAUGAGAAAGCUGCACUUUGCAAACGCCGAACCUGGCUACAACGCCAAUCUAGCUGGUCAUUGUACUUUCCUAAAAAAGAAAGCUGGUCAUUGUACUCGCAUGUCUUUUUUAGGGAAAGCGACUUGGCUAGAUUACAAUCAUACAUGCAGGGCUAAAUAA
rnacentral:rRNA from 1 species